rnacentral:rRNA from 1 species
GCCGCGGUAAUACGGAGGGUCCGAGCGUUAAUCGGAAUUACUGGGCGUAAAGCGCGCGUAGGUGGAUUGGUCAGUCAGAUGUGAAAGCCCAGGGCUCAACCUUGGAACUGCAUCUGAUACUGCUAGUCUAGAAUACAGUAGAGGGUAGUGGAAUUUCCUGUGUAGCGGUGAAAUGCGUAGAUAUAGGAAGGAACACCAGUGGCGAAGGCGACUACCUGGACUGAUAUUGACACUGAGGUGCGAAAGCGUGGGGAGCAAACAGGAUUAGAUACCCUGGUAGUCCACGCCGUAAACGAUGUCUACUAGCCGUUGGAAGACUUGAUCUUUUAGUGGCGAAGCUAACGCGAUAAGUAGACCGCCUGGGGAGUACGGCCGCAAGGUUAAAACUCAAAUGAAUUGACGGGGGCCCGCACAAGCGGUGGAGCAUGUGGUUUAAUUCGACGCAACGCGAAGAACCUUACCAACUCUUGACAUCCAGAGAAGAGGCUAGAGAUAGCUUUGUGCCUUCGGGAACUCUGAGACAGGUGCUGCAUGGCUGUCGUCAGCUCGUGUUGUGAAAUGUUGGGUUAAGUCCCGUAACGAGCGCAACCCUUGUCCUUAUUUGCCAGCACGUAAUGGUGGGAACUCUAAGGAGACUGCCGGUGACAAACCGGAGGAAGGUGGGGACGACGUCAAGUCAUCAUGGCCCUUACGAGUUGGGCUACACACGUGCUACAAUGGCCGGUACAGAGGGCUGCAAACCUGCGAAGGUAAGCUAAUCUCACAAAACCGGUCGUAGUCCGGAUUGGAGUCUGCAACUCGACUCCAUGAAGUCGGAAUCGCUAGUAAUCGUGGAUCAGAAUGCCACGGUGAAUACGUUCCCGGGCCUUGUACACACCGCCCGUCACACCAUGGGAGUGGAUUGCACCAGAAGUAGCUAGCUUAACCUUCGGGAGGGCGGUUACCACGGUGUGGUUCAUGACUGGGGUGAAGUCGUAACAAGGUAGCCGUCCC